GGCCUUGACAUGCAGAGAACUUUCCAGAGAUGGAUUGGUGCCUUCGGGAACGUCUGACACAGGUGCUGCAUGGCUGUCGUCAGCUCGUGUCGUGAGAUGUUGGGUUAAGUCCCGUAACGAGCGCAACCCUUGUCCUUAGUUACCAGCACGUUAUGGUGGGCACUCUAAGGAGACUGCCGGUGACAAACCGGAGGAAGGUGGGGAGUGACGUCAAGUCAUCAUGGCCCUUACGGCCUGGGCUACACACGUGCUACAAUGGUCGGUACAAAGGGUUGCCAAGCCGCGAGGUGGAGCUAAUCCCAUAAAACCGAUCGUAGUCCGGAUCGCAGUCUGCAACUCGACUGCGUGAAGUCGGAAUCGCUAGUAAUCGUGAAUCAGAAUGUCACGGUGAAUACGUUCCCGGGCCUU
rnacentral:rRNA from 1 species